GAGUUUGAUCCUGGCUCAGGAUGAACGCUAGCGGCAGGCCUAACACAUGCAAGUCGAGGGGUAACAGAAAAGCUUGCUUUUGCUGACGACCGGCGCACGGGUGCGUAACGCGUAUGCAACCUACCUCAUACUGGAGGAUAGCCCCUGGAAACGGGGAUUAAUACUCCAUAGUAUCACAAUUUCGCAUGUUAUUGUGAUUAAAGUUUUUCGGUAUGGGAUGGGCAUGCGUCCCAUUAGCUUGUUGGUGAGGUAACGGCUCACCAAGGCAACGAUGGGUAGGGGGCCUGAGAGGGUGGUCCCCCACACUGGUACUGAGACACGGACCAGACUCCUACGGGAGGCAGCAGUGAGGAAUAUUGGUCAAUGGAGGAAACUCUGAACCAGCCAUGCCGCGUGAAGGAUGACGGCCCUAUGGGUUGUAAACUUCUUUUAUAGAGGAAGAAACUUGUCUACGUGUAGACAACUGACGGUACUCUACGAAUAAGGAUCGGCUAACUCCGUGCCAGCAGCCGCGGUAAUACGGAGGAUCCAAGCGUUAUCCGGAUUCAUUGGGUUUAAAGGGUCCGUAGCGGAUUUUUAAGUCAGUGGUGAAAGCCGACAGCUCAACUGUCGAACUGCCAUUGAUACUGGAAAUCUUGAGUACAAAUGAAGUAGGCGGAAUGAGUCAUGUAGCGGUGAAAUGCAUAGAUAUGACUCAGAACACCGAUUGCGAAGGCAGCUUACUAACAUGUAACUGACGCUGAGGGACGAAAGCGUGGGGAGCGAACAGGAUUAGAUACCCUGGUAGUCCACGCCGUAAACGAUCAUCACUCGCUGUUGGCGAUAUACUGUCAGCGGCCAAGCGAAAGUAUUAAGUGAUGCACCUGGGGAGUACGCCGGCAACGUGAAACUCAAAGGAAUUGACGGGGGCCCGCACAAGCGGUGGAGCAUGUGGUUUAAUUCGAUGAUACGCGAGGAACCUUACCAGGGCUUAAAUGUAGUCUGACA
rnacentral:rRNA from 1 species